CGUGAUGGAGUCUGUGUGCGGGGUGGUGUGUGUGUUGGGGGGAGGAUACGCUCAGGCGCAUGCGUGUGUACAGCCAUGAAGGUUGCCACGUCCUCCAUCACAUCCUGUUAGCCUGACUUUAAUGUUCACCUGACACAACUAACGGGCAGGUGAGACACACGCCGCUGAUUCUGUCGUCGUAAAGAUCGUCUCCUCCUGCUGUCUGUUUCCAGAUACCUACCUUUCAAAGUGAUCACCUGGAAAGAAAAAGGCUCAGCAUGUGGCGGAGACACAGAACACCCGCCAAAACGUUGAGCAUGUUGUCGGUCGUCGUCUGCCUUGUCAUCGCCACACACUUCUUCCUACCCGACCCUUACGUGCAUGACCUACGACCCAGAAAAGACAACACGACAGGGUCAAGGUCUUGUUCUCGACAUCCCACUAUCAUCAUCUUGGAUACAGGGGAACCUUUCGAGGCUCACUUUUCAAGAAAGUACUCCACUGAAGGCUGCUAGAUAAAAGAUGUCAUCACACCAACACAGACAAAACAAAUGAAGAAACACCAAUGAGAAAUUCAUGUUAGUACAUGUUGGUGUUGUGCUAAAGUUUCACCGAAAUUUAUGCAAGAUUCUGACCGACUUGUUGUUUGUUCUUGAUCUUCGACUUUUCAAAGGAUGUCGGAGACCAGACAUAUUUAUUUGUUUAUUUACGCUGCAAAGAACCCACACAUGUAUCCAUAUCGGUAUCCACUGUAGUAACCCCAUCUCAAACCUCACCUGUACCCACUGCAAUAAACCCAGAAAUCAGAAUCUCUUCCUCUACUACUGUCUUCCCCCUUUUCCGAACAGCGGCCUGUAAUUUUGAUGCUGUUCCUCCCUCUCCUCCCUGGUAUCAAAAUUUCCCCUUUCCUUCCUUCAAUAAUAAAUGCUUUUACUGAGAAUGCUAUUUCGCAUUAGCAAUAGUGCCAUCUCCCCAAGUGUUUCAUUUAUGCGCCGAACACUGUUCACUGCACAUCUGCAGACUAUCAGGGCCAAACAUGCGUGAGAAAUGACAGGGGAAGUAAUAACGUUCAAUUCAGGAAUAGUUUUUCUACAUUAAUUACUUCCCUUGUAACUCCAAGCUGCUUGCUGCGAAGAACACGAAUCCAUAGUUGAAGAUGAAGAUUUCCGUAAACGCAUUAUAAAAAAAAAAAAAAAUCCUGAUCCACUAGCCCUGUCUCGGUAUACAAGAUGAAAGGAAAAAGGAUGGAAUGGAAAUGUCCGCAUGUAGAAAAGUGGAAACACGGACAGCAAAUGGCCAUAUCUCUGCCUCGUGCUAUUGCAAAACAAAUUUGCAAUUCAUAAAUGUCAAGCUCUCGAAACGAGCUUCUCGUUUUCAAAUAAAUGUCUGAAUUAUUAGAUUAAGUCUGGGAGUAUUAAAUUUUAUGCUGCACUCAAGAGCAAAUAAAACAGUAAAAAUUCAAAUUUGCGUUAGUCGUUUUUAUAGUUUGAAUCACGUGACAUGACCCUCCAAAAAAAUUCACACAACAUUCCACUUCAUGGUUUUUUUCUUUCUUUCUUUUUCUUCUUCCGCUUUAUGAUGUUUUAUCAUGUAAAUGGAGGUGGAUAGGAACCUGCUGUGUGUUAUCGUGAGGGUUGUAGGACAGAAAAUGAAAAACGGAAAAUCUACAGGGAAGCUGCCAACGUCCGGGCAGACGUCAGGUCGUGCAGAUAUGAAAUGGAGAUGCUGGGUUGGGGGAAGAGGGAUGUAUAUAGUACACCACUAGCUAGGUAGGUAGAACUCAGAAUAUGUUAAUACAGACCGCAACACAAACAACAACAAAUAUAUAAAAAAAACGAUUCAAAACUUCAUCUUUACACAAAAUUUAAUGAUUGUAUAGUGUUUUGCAGUUCGCAUACUUUACAAAUACAACGCACAUAUUCAUAAGAAAAAAAAAAGUUGAUGAAAACUGACCAAACAUCAAUAUGUUCCCACUAUGUACCAAUGACCACUCAGCUAUACAUAACAUGCCAUUCAACAGCAUAUACUGCUCGUAUUCUGAGUAAACAGUGGCAUUUCCUCACUGUCCCUCCCCCCGAAAACAAACAAACAAACAAACAAAAGAACCAGUGAAUAAUUUGAUGAUAACAUUAAUUUCGCUUUGUGAACAAUGAAAGCAAUGAUGAUCAUGUUACAAUUUGCCACUGGACCCACACAUGUCUGCAGUAGACAACUCAAAAUGCAUUUUUGGUCAUUUCCUACAAGACAUGACAACUGCUCAGUUUAUGUGCAUGAUAAACAAAAUAAUUCUCCACUUUAUGCGCAUGAUAAACAACUUUAAUUUACCUGCGCGAUAAACGAAGCAAUAGCUCUGUGAUCGCUGUAACAAAAAGGAUUAACAACAUUAAUAAUAAUUCUGUUAGAUACUAUCUCAACUGUCAACUCCGGCUACUCUGGCUACCACCUCAAACACCAUCCUCUCCACAAGGUUCCCUCAACCAAACACACAGUGUCAAAUAUGUUUUGUGCACACAUGCAUGACAGUCAUAUAAAAAUAUUGCCAUAGUCAUAUGUGGCCAGCCAAGAAGGUCCUGUCUAGAGAUGUCAGCAAGAACACAAGCUGAGACCAGAGGAACCUUGUCAACUGGACACAUAGUCCACUAACUGACACAUUUUGGCACACUGUUGCAUGGCGGUCAUAUAAUAAUCUGCCAAAGAAUGUGGUUUAAGAACUCAUUUGAUGUGUCAACUUAUUAUAAACAUAAUAGUACACAGUCUACAGCAAGAAAGUGUCAACAAGUGAAUACAGAAAAAGCUUAUUGAAAAAUAAAGAGAAGGAAACUGAGGUUAGUUGGCAAAGGUAACAGGAAGAGGGUUGUUGUGGAUUUGUAAGUCAUUUUAGUCAUUGUUGUGUCUCUUUAAUAUCUUAUUUUUAAAUAAACAAAAGGUACUCUUGUGCGAAUAGAGAAAAAAAACAAAUUUCAAAAUGUGAAGGUGGACAUAAUACUACAAAGUUAUCAAUAUUUGUGUUAUUACUAUCAUUGUGCAUUAAUUAGUACGAAUGAUAUAUUCCUGCAGUCGUUUAUAAGUUUAUCAGCCUUGUCCUAAACACUGAUGUCAGAAGCAAUGACUAGGCUUUGCUUCAAGGGGAGAUAAUGAAGAAGGGGAGACAAAGACUGGCAAUAACUCGUCUCUGCCUUACGCCGUUGUAAGCGGUUCUGGGUCGUGCACACAAUGUAAACCCAAAGAAAAUUAGAGACAUGACAAUUUAGAAAUUAGAGACAAGAAGCUAAGACUGAAGUGUGUGAUAAUGGUUAUAGUUAUAUACUAAUUAAUGACUCUUCGCUAAACGUUCCCGUGGGGCAAUCUAACAAAAAAAAUGGCAGGUCAAAGUUCAAUUAUAAUGUCUGGUUCAUAAGACAAGAAAACAUUAUCUAAAAUAAACAAUGAAGAUAAACGAGGAAUGAUAAACACACACUUCACCAGAGCAAAAUAACAAUAAUAAAUUACACAAUGUCAGGUUAAUUAUAAAAACAGAACGAGGUAAGUGUGAAAUGCCUUUGUCAGUUAAUGGGACUGCGGAGAACUACACACCUACACACUAUCUUUCCCCUCCCUCUCUCUCUCUCGUUCUCUCACACACACACACAGGUAGUUGUCCAAUAGGUAAGUAUCUGGGGAAGAUAAUGCUGAAAGAAACUGUGCAGAUCAAAACUGACCCCCUACGGUUUGUUUUAUGAAAAAAAACACUUAAAAAACAAGGCCACUGGUCCUACAUGUUCCAUCCCCCAUGCAGCUGGUUCUUUCAAAAUUCACGGUGUAGUGAGCGACGCUCAUCUCUCUCGAUGUGACGUCACACCACCUUAUACCCUCGACACCAAAAUCUUUUCUUGCCUCACGGAAAAUGUAAAAAGUUCGACCACACAUCUGAAUGGCCCUUAAAAUGCUGACGUCUGAUUGGUCGGUCUGUUGCCCUGGAGAAGUGACGCGUGUGAACAUGCCUCGUGCUAGUCGUGAUUUUCAAAACAAAGGAAAAUGCUAUGCGAUUGGCCAAAAUGGACGUAUCUUGAAAGAUUUCGCUCAGAAACUGAGUGGUCAGCAGAUAGGUCUUUGCAUGAGAACCGGAACACCUGGAGCUGGGUGUCAGUGAAAGACACUCUGAGGUCGGCAAACGUCCCUCACGUAAAGCUGUUCCAGUCAGUGCCAAAUACCACAUAACAGAAAACAACAACACACACAAAUUAAACAGAUGAAAAAGGACUGCUGGACCCAUGGGAGUGAUUUAGCUUUAUAAACUUUUGUACAGAAUUUAAAGCAUUCUUCAGUGCAAAUAAUGAAGAUAAUGAAAACGGGACCAAUAUUGUUAUUUGAUUUAGAAACCCAUGUCUAGCAGAAAUAUGAAUUUAAAUAAAACAGCCUGAAAAUAAAGGCGUGGAAUAGUGACAACGACUGGGGAACAGUGAUAAAGGAAUGGAAAUCGUGACACUACACUAAUGUGUCAGAUAGCUGGGAUAGUCUAACAUAAAGUUUAGCUUGACUAGGAUCAACAAAUACAAUACCCCAUCCCCUCACAAAAAAUAUAUGAAAAACACCCGACAUGAUCUAGUGACAUGAGUUGUCUGCUCACACUGUCCAGCCUGCUGCUGCCGUCAACACCAACAUGAACAAUACACAAAGUAUAGCGUCUCAGUCUGGUCGUAACAGAAAAUAAAAUAAAAUUUUGUAAUAACAAUGUGAGAGAAAGGCGAGGUCAUCAAUAGUAAAUGGUGUUAUUGCCAUAAGAAAGCCUUUCCUACGUUUCUGAAACCAUGUUAAAGAGUGGGGACUCGAGGACUAAGACUAAGGCAACUAAGGCUAUAUCACGGGAAGGCAUUCAGCCUUAAAAUCAGGCGUCAAAGGCAAAACAAACAAACAAAAAACAAAACAAAAACAAGAAACAAAAUCUAAAACAAAAGCAUGCCCGAGACGAGAUCUGAACUCCGGACAACCAAUCUUCACUGCAUUAGCGACAAACACCAGCCGCUGCGCCACAGGACCACCUGGGACUCAAGGAGAGAAUAGGAAUCAUGAUUUUAUAGUUUUCUUCCUCCUACUUACUAGGGAUUCCGAGACUGGAUUACAAUUAUAAAAUAUUUAAUAGUAAAAAAAAAAAGGGAAACCAGGUAUUGCAAAUGUAAAAUCUAACAUAACAAACGAAAAUAACAAAGUAAACACCGAUCGCCGAAACAUGUGUGACAAAGAACGAAAGCCCCUAGCUCUAACAGCUCUCAUAAAAACAAAGGAAUCCAACAGUAUAUUUCCACAAAUAAUCCUAUCUUGGGAUUAGUCCGACUUCUUACAAAAUUAUAUUUCUUCAUUUGUUU